ACUCAAAGGAAUUGACGGGGGCCCGCACAAGCGGUGGAGCAUGUGGUUCAAUUCGACGCAACGCGAAGAACCUUACCCAGGCUUGAACAGCGAGUGACCACUCCUGAAAGGGAGCUUCCGCAAGGACACUCGUAGAGGUGCUGCAUGGCUGUCGUCAGCUCGUGUCGUGAGAUGUUGGGUUAAGUCCCGCAACGAGCGCAACCCUUGUCUUCUGUUGCCAUCAGGUUAUGCUGGGCACUCUGGAGAGACUGCCGGUGAUAAACCGGAGGAAGGUGGGGAUGACGUCAAGUCAGCAUGGCCUUUAUGUCUGGGGCUACACACGUGCUACAAUGGCCGGCACAAACCGUCGCGAGCCCGCAAGGGGGAGCUAAUCGGAGAAAGUCGGUCUCAGUUCGGAUCGUCGGCUGCAACUCGCCGGCGUGAAGUUGGAAUCGCUAGUAAUCGCGGAUCAGCACGCCGCGGUGAAUACGUUCCCGGGCCUUGCACACACCGCCCGU
rnacentral:rRNA from 1 species